rnacentral:rRNA from 1 species
CAUAAUACAUGCAAGUCGAACGAAAAAGGUCUUCGGGCCUUUUUAGUGGCAAACGGGCGAGUAACACAUAUUUAACUUGCUCAUCCGAGGAGAAUAGCAGCCCGAAAGGGCUAUUAAUACGCCAUAGUUUUAAAUUAGUGAAUUAAUUUAAAUUAAAGGAGGCUGCCGAAAGGUGGCCUCGCGGAUGAAUAGGAAUAUGUCCUAUUAGGUCGUUGGAGAGGUAAUGGCUCACCAAGCCGAUGAUGGGUAGCUGGACUGAGAGGUUGAACAGCCGCAAUGGGAUUGAGAAAUGGCCCAUAUUCCUACGGGAAGCAGCAGUGAGGAAUUUUUCACAAUGGACGAAAGUCUGAUGGAGCAAUACCACGUGAACGAUGAAGGUCUUCUGAUUGUAAAGUUCUUUUAUUUAGGAAAAAAAGCGCGGCAGGAAAUGGCCGCGCCUUGAUUGUACUAAUUGAAUAAGUGACAGCUAACUAUGUGCCAGCAGCUGCGGUAAAACAUAGGUCACGAGCAUUAUCCGGAUUUAUUGGGCGUAAAGGAAGCGUAGGCUGAAAUGUGUAUUCAUUGUUAAAAAUAUUUGCUUAACAAGUGUUCGCGGUGAAGAUUACAUUUCUAGAAUUAGUUAGAGGGUACUGGAAUUCAAUGUGUAGUGGUGGAAUACGUAGAUAUAUUGAGGAACACCAGAGGCUAAGGCGAGUGCCUGGAACAUAAUUGACGCUGAGGCUUGAAAGCGUGGGUAGCAAAUGGGAUUAGAUACCCCAGUAGUCCACGCCGUAAACGAUGGGUAUUAGUCAUUUGGAUUUAAGACUGAGUGAUGUAGCUAACGCGUUAAAUACCCCGCCUGGGUAGUAUAUAUGCAAAUAUGAAACUCAAAGAAAUUGACGGGGACCUGAACAAG